CGGAUGCUGACGAGUGGCGAACGGGUGAGUAAUACAUCGGAACGUGCCUAGUAGUGGGGGAUAACUACUCGAAAGAGUAGCUAAUACCGCAUGAGAUCUACGGAUGAAAGCAGGGGACCUUCGGGCCUUGUGCUACUAGAGCGGCUGAUGGCAGAUUAGGUAGUUGGUGGGGUAAAAGCUUACCAAGCCUGCGAUCUGUAGCUGGUCUGAGAGGACGACCAGCCACACUGGGACUGAGACACGGCCCAGACUCCUACGGGAGGCAGCAGUGGGGAAUUUUGGACGAUGGGCGAAAGCCUGAUCCAGCAAUGCCGCGUGCAGGAUGAAGGCCCUCGGGUUGUAAACUGCUUUUGUACGGAACGAAAAGCCUGGGGCUAAUAUCCCCGGGUCAUGACGGUACCGUAAGAAUAAGCACCGGCUAACUACGUGCCAGCAGCCGCGGUAAUACGUAGGGUGCAAGCGUUAAUCGGAAUUACUGGGCGUAAAGCGUGCGCAGGCGGUUUUGUGAGACAGUGGUGAAAUCCCCGGGCUCAACCUGGGAACUGCCAUUGUGACUGCAAGGCUAGAGUGCGGCAGAGGGGGAUGGAAUUCCGCGUGUAGCAGUGAAAUGCGUAGAUAUGCGGAGGAACACCGAUGGCGAAGGCAA
rnacentral:rRNA from 1 species